UACCUGUGCAACCUGGUCCAGGGAGCCUGCUUUGGCAGGGGGAGUGGAUUCGAUGAUCGCUAGAGGUCCCUUCCAGCCCCUACAAUUCUGUGAUUCUGUGAUUCCUACACCUCCUGCAUGCAGACAACACCAGAGAGCCCUUUGAACCCAUGCUGAGCCCUGUGAGCCUGCCGAGUCCUGCCAGCCCCUGCUUCUGGCUCUGCCACGGCACUAAAGGAGCUCUCAAAGCAGAGCUGCAGGCAUUGGCCCCAGGGUCGUGGUUUUCUCUCCAUGGGUCUGUUCUGCUGUCUGGGGCAUCUUCCUACGCACGGCACAGGCCUUGGUCUCUCCGUAGGUGGGUGAGGAGCAGAGAUCCAGCACUUCUUAAAGCUUUCACAGAGACUGGCAGCUGAAGCUAGGUCAGUUUAAACAGGAAACAAGACACAGUUACGUACAUAACGAUGGUUAACUAGUGAAAUAAAUUACCGGGGAGCGAAUGCCGUUAGGCGCGGUGCAGGUUGGUCCCACGCACAGGCGGUUCUGCAGCUCCAAGGCCCGAAGCACGAGUAACUCUGGGCCUGAGGCAGGAGGUCACUCCGAAGAUGGUGCGGGUGCUGCCGGCCCGGCGUUCUGCUGCUCUCUGGAAAUGGUGUGUCAGAGGGUUUUUCUCUCCACAGCCAGACUGGGAGCUUGAAGUGCACAUGGUUACUGACAACUCCCAACUGUCAGUAAAGCUGUUCCGCAGAAAGUGUUACAUGACUGAUGUCUCUACAACUGCACUUUUCCAAACAGAUGGGGGGAAAAAAAAAGGCACCGGUCUCGAAUCAAAUUAGUCUUGACAGAUUACGCAAAAGAAAUUGAACACACGCUCCACAUUUUGGGCAACUUCUAAAUAUAAUGUCUCCAUUGAAAACAAAGUAUACGGCGGCGCUAAAAAUGUGUAAAUAUAGAGCUAUAAAACUUUCCUCACAUUAUAGACUGAGGGCCACUGUGAGGGGGCUGUAAAAGCAGCAUCUGCGUGGGGCGGGAGGCCCCGAGAGCGGCCACACCUUGUCCAGCGCACAGAUAAGCUCGCUUUUGAAAGCUCCCUGUUUGCCUUACAGAGCUUUGUCUAUUCAGAACACGGGGCAAAGAUAAAAAUGUUCCCAUUGCAACUGAUGUCACGAUUGCAUUUAGAAAUAAUAAAUCCUUGACAUUACGGAAAAAAAUUAAAAUAACCCACACGGGAAAAGGUGAUAUUUAUACUCUGUUGCAGCUGGAAACACACUGUAAUAAAGAAUUAACCACUG
rnacentral:lncRNA from 1 species